GUGAUAUCAAUAUUAGAAUUAGUUAGCCACGUACCACUUUUAACAGUUUGUUUAAAUUCAUACUUUGAAAUUAUUCUUUUCAAGGAGGCUAUUGUUGACUGCUCAAGUUUUUGGCGCGAGAAACAGAGAAAACGGUCUCGAAAGUAAAAUCGACCUCGAUUUCGCAUCGCCGCGAUAAUUAGGCAACCUUGAUCGGACAGGCCAAUCAGAAUUCGCGAUGAGGAAGAAGGAAAGAAAAGGCGAAUCAUGGAAAUACGAGAAACAUUGAUGAUCCCUCGAGGCACAAAGAGCAGCAAUGAUAGAGAGCAAGCAACGGAUAAAUGCAAGCCAGUUGCAAAACGUUGCGGCCCAUGAAGAGGCAUUGCAGCCGCUCGCAAAUUACUGCGCGAGAUUCGAGAGGACCGCGCGGGAUAACGUUGAAGAAUCGGGGAAGAAACGGCGAGCGGUGCUCCGCGCCGGGAAUUUCAACGAGGAAACAAGCGAGAAGCGUGACGAUCAAGCAUUCGCCAUGAUAAAUCGCAGAUACGUAUAUACACUAUCGGUCAAAAGUAUGAGACCACUUAUUUAUAUUGAUAAAUGAAAUUCAUUUAUAAAAAGUGGCUGGAAAUAAUUGAAUUUUCUUAGUGCUUAAACUUCGGAUGGCGGACUAUGAAGAGAGCCGUAAUUUUUAUUUUUUAUUAUUUCUAAAUUUCACACUGUUCCUUUUAAAAUUAUUUUUCUAAUAUAUGAAACCCUUUCGUUUAAAAAUUAGACAUUUAACUUUA